CACAAUAGUAAACAGUAGACCCAAGAUUUCCUAUUUCUACCCCUUUGCUGUAGAAACCUCUCUACUGUGUUACCUCUUCUUCUUGGAAACAAGAAAUGAAUUGAAUAUGAAGCCUCUAUAAUACAUGCUUACCACUGAAAUGUCUUCUUAAACACUGUAUUUCAGAUAUAAAACUUAGAGGAGCUGUAAUUGCACAUCGAUCAUCUUUGACUUUCCUACACUGACUGCUCAUAGGGAGGGAGCUGAAAAUUAAAUCCUGAAGCCUGCCCCAUUUGGAGAGCAGCAUCCUGGCUUCUGGUGGCCACAGCAGCAGCCUUUCCAUCCAUUUCUUUUCUCACGAAGCUUCUUCUGGUUGGAAACUUAUCAAAUUUCAUCAGGUAAGAAGUACUGUGUGAACCUGUAACAUAUUUCAAAAGAACU
rnacentral:lncRNA from 1 species